rnacentral:rRNA from 1 species
CACCAGGUUGAUUCUGCCUGACGUAGACGCUAGCCUCGAAGGUUAAGCCAUGCAUGCCCGUGACGCAAGGAACGGCGAACGGCUCAGUAAUACUGCGACCAUCUGCUUCCGCGCGAGCAAUAACCACGGGAAACUGUGGCUAAGAGCGCGGAUUGAGACGCAGCCCUAUCAGCGAGUUGGUAGUGUAACGGACUACCAAGGCGGCGACGGGUAACGGGAAAUCAGGGUUUGAUUCCGGAGAGGGAGCCUGAGAGAUGGCUCCCACGUCCAAGGACGGCAGCAGGCGCGAAAAUUGCCCACUCUCCGUGAGGAGGCAGUUACGAGGCGUGACGGAAGGGCGCACUGUAAAGACGUGCGCGAACGCGAUUGGAGGGCAAGUUCGGUGCCAGCAGCCGCGGUAAUACCGACUCCAAGAGUGUCUAUGGUGGAUGCUGCAGUUAAAAAGUCCGUAGUCGGCACUGCGACGAAAGCGCGCCGUUCGAUGGCGCAGGCGUUGCAGGUGCUUGCGGAGCGGGCGGGGGGCACGGUAUAGGCGGGCGAGAGAUGAAAUGCCAAGACCCUGCCUGGACCGACGGCGGCGAAGGCGGUGCCCUCGCACGCGUCUGUGGAUCAAGGACGAAGGCCGGAGGAUCGAAAGUGAUUAGAGACCGCUGUAGUUCCGGCAGUAAACGAUGCCGACACCGCGCGGCGAGGCUGCGCGGGGGGGAAACCUUAGUGUUCGGGCUCUGGGGAUAGUAUGCCCGCAAGUGUGAAAAUUAAAGAAAUU